GUCUAACCUGCCCACUGAAAUUUUUAAAUGGCCGCAGUAUUCUAACUGUGCAAAGGUAGCAUAAUCAUUAGUCUUUUAAUUGAAGGCUGGAAUGAAUGGUUGAAUGAAAUAUUAACUGUUUCAAUUUAAGUUAUUAUAGAAUUUUAUUUUUUAGUCAAAAAGCUAAAAUAUAAUUAAAAGACGAGAAGACCCUAUAAAUCUUUAUAGUUAUGUUUUUAUAAGUAUAUAGAUAAUUUUAUUUAUAAAAUUUUUAACUAUUUUAUUGGGGUGAUAUUAAAAUUUAAUAAACUUUUAAUUAAAUGUAUACAUUAAUUAGUGAAUUGUUGAUCCAUAUAUAAUGAUUAUAAAAUUAAGUUACUUUAGGGAUAACAGCGUAAUUUUUUUAGAGAGUUCAUAUUGAUAAAAAAGAUUGCGACCUCGAUGUUGGAUUAAGAUAUAAAUUUAGGUGCAGCAGUUUAAAUUUA
rnacentral:rRNA from 1 species